GGUCCAAAAAUGGAGACGCCACGAUCAACAGAGUCUCAAGGAUUAUGGUACUGAGUGACUUCCUAUUAGUCCAAAAAGGUGAUGUGUAUGUGCACACUUCACUUAAACCUGUAUUGGAAUGCCCCACGACCAGUAUCUUGAAUACAAGCAGUUGGGUAAGUGCAAUGAAGAGGCGACAGAUGAUUAGUCUAUUUACAUACAUUAACCUUAUUUUUUUUUAUAAAUGUCAGGUUGUGAAAAUAAUACAGAAUUAGUUGUGUAAUAAUAUAUCAGGUUUAUGAUUAUGAAAUCAAGCUAUAAGGAUUUAAAUCUGACUUUUUACAUUAAUAUAAACUUUAAGCCCGAGAAGUGCACGAGUAAAAGUGAAGUGUUUAAAGACAACCUUUGCGGAUAGACAUGAAGUUAUUCGGAAUCAUAGUCCUUGUUGUUCUGUUGAUGGUGGCCUUAGUUACAAUGCCAGCUGAUGCCGAUGAAGAUUCUAAGAAUAAAGAUUGGUGGUGGAAAAUGUUUGGUAAAGGGCAUAGUGCAAAUGAAGGUUAUGGAGGAGGUUAUGGUGGAGGUCGUGCGUUUGGAAGAUGAUACUUUGAAAAUAUGAAUAGUUUCUGAGUGACGAAACAGAAACGUAUUUAACAAUGAUAUUUCUUCAAAUAAAAAAGUUUUCUUUUG